rnacentral:tRNA from 1 species
UCAAGGAGGCAACGGGGAUUCGACUUCCCCUGGGGGUA